UACAGAGGUGGCAAGCGUUGUCCGGAAUUAUUGGGCGUAAAGGGCUCGUAGGCGGUCUGUUGCGUCAGGAGUGAAAACUCGGGGCUUAACCCCGAGCCUGCUUCUGAUACGGGCAGACUAGAGGUAUGCAGGGGAGAACGGAAUUCCUGGUGUAGCGGUGGAAUGCGCAGAUAUCAGGAGGAACACCAAUAGCGAAGGCAGCUCGCUGGGACGGUACUGACGCUGAGGCGCGAAAGCGUGGGGAGCGAACAGG
rnacentral:rRNA from 1 species